UUCCUUAAUGAAUCCGGCCUUGAGAAGCUUAUCCACUUCCUUGGCUAUCGCCUUCUGCCUCUCCGGGGCAUGACUCUGGAUUUUUCUUUUGUCAGUCGAUGCUUCGGAUCGACUGCCAGGUGAUGCUCCAUGACUCCCGUGUCAAUCCCCGAUAUGUCUGCUGGAACCCAAGCGAAAACGUCCGCAUUCCUUCGGAGGAAAUCAAUAAGACGCGUCCGCACCUCCUCCCCCAGGUUGGAGCCAAUUAACGCCACAUGCUCCGCGUUCCCAUCAUUCAAAGGGAUUGGUACCAGAUCUUUGAUUGGGCCACCCC
rnacentral:lncRNA from 1 species